CAGUCGCCGCGGGAAUACGUAGGGUGCAAGCGUUAAUCGGAAUUACUAGGCGUAAAGCGUGCGCAAGCGGUUCUAUAAGACAGAUGUGAAAUCCCCGGGCUCAACCUGGGAACUGCAUUUGUGACUGUAGAGCUGGAGUGCGGCAGAGGGGGAUGGAAUUCCGCGUGUAGCAGUGAAAUGCGUAGAUAUGCGGAGGAACACCGAUGGCGAAGGCAAUCCCCUGGGCCUGCACUGACGCUCAUGCACGAAAGCGUGGGGAGCAAACAGGAUUAGAUACCCGAGUAGUCCCUGUCUCUUAUAC
rnacentral:rRNA from 1 species